rnacentral:rRNA from 1 species
AAUAUUAUUCUUGUGUCUGUUGGUUUAUAUCAAGUGAAGCGUCAGAUAAUUUGGUAAUGGUGAUUGAACAGUAAGAUAAUGUUUAACUGUAGGGGUUAAAAGGUUAGUUGAGAAGAAGUAGAUAAAAUUAUUGUACCUUUUGCAUCAUGGUUUAGCAAGAUUAACUUUUUUAUUAAUUUUCUCGAAGCCUGGGGAGUUACUUUGUUAUUGUUUUUAGGCAGAAAAAUGUAAAUGUAGCAAAAUUUUAUUCAUAUCAUAAAGUAGAAAUGAGAUUUUUUUCGUACUAGGAGAUAGCUAGUUUCAACAGAAAUAUAUCUACGUAUAGGCAAUCAGGUAGAAUUAACUAUGAAUAGUUAGGUAAUCCACUGGUUUUCUAGCCUUUAGAAGGGUGAGCUUAUGAAGGAAAAGUUGUAAUACAAGGUGGAAACUUGCUGGCAUCUGAGCUUGAAAUUAGCUAAGAUUGAAAGCUUGUUUUAAAGUAUUAAUAUACCGGUUGUGUAUCGCUUAAGUUAGGUUGAUAGGCGCUUGAAUUAGAAGGUGUUGUAUUUAUGCUAAAAUGAGUAUUUUACGAGUAAUUAGAAACUAAAGUUGAUUGUUUAAUUAGAAAUAAACGUGUUAUUUAAAAUGUGAAAAAGGAACUCGGCAUCUAUGUUUCGCCUGUUUAGCAAAAACAUGGCUCUUUGGACCCAGAAUAUGAGGAGUCGGACCUGCCCAG